rnacentral:rRNA from 1 species
CCUACGGGAGGCAGCAGUGAGGAAUAUUGGUCAAUGGGCUUACGCCUGAACCAGCCAAGUCGCGUGAGGGAAGACUGCCCUAUGGGUUGUAAACCUCUUUUGUCAGGGAGCAACGCCGGCUACGUGUAGCCGGACUGAGAGUACCUGAAGAAAAAGCAUCGGCUAACUCCGUGCCAGCAGCCGCGGUAAUACGGAGGAUCCGAGCGUUAUCCGGAUUUAUUGGGUUUAAAGGGUGCGUAGGCGGCCUGUUAAGUCAGCGGUGAAAGUCUGUGGCUCAACCAUAGAAUUGCCGUUGAAACUGGGAGGCUUAAGUAUUGUUGAGGCAGGCGGAAUGCGUGGUGUAGAGGUGAAAUGCUUAGAUAUCACGCAGAACCCCGAUUGCGAAGGCAGCCUGCCAAGCCAUGACUGACGCUGAUGCACGAAAGCGUGGGGAUCAAACAGGAUUAGAUACCCUGGUAGUC